rnacentral:misc_RNA from 1 species
GUGAAUUAAACAUGCUUGGUGUCUUCGCUUCGGCAAGGCCCUUGCUUGAAUCACAUCCUAACACCUGUGAACUGUAAGACGUAUGAUGAGGUCUUUGGCCAAGUCAUCGUCUGCCCAUUUUUAACAAACAAUUAAUGUAACAAACGUAGUCUUAUUAUAACUUAAUA